rnacentral:rRNA from 1 species
GCACGGAGUUAGCCGGUGCUUUUCAAGGGGUACCGUCACUAUCGUCCCCCUUUUAGAGGUUUACAAUCCUAGGACCUUCGUCCCUCACGCGGUGUCGCUCCAUCAGGCUUUCGCCCAUUGUGGAAGAUUCCUA